UCGAGAAUCUUCCGCAAUGGGCGCAAGCCUGACGGAGCGAUGCCGCGUGAGGGAAGAAUGCCUUCGGGUUGUAAACCUCUGUCGCCUGGGACGAACACUGACGGUACCAGGAGAGGAAGUCACGGCUAACUACGUGCCAGCAGCCGCGGUAACACGUAGGUGGCGAGCGUUAUUCGGAUUCACUGGGCGUAAAGGGUCCGCAGGGGGCCUGGCAAGUCUGCCGUGAAAUUCCAGGGCUCAACCCUGGACGUGCGUUGGAAACUGCCGGGCUUGAGUUUAUGAUGGGCAGACGGAACACCUGGUGUAGCGGUGGAAUGCGUGGAUAUCAGGUGGAACACCGAUGGCGAAGGCGGUCUGCUGGCAUAAUACUGACCCUCAGGGACGAAAGCGUGGGUAGCAAACAGG
rnacentral:rRNA from 1 species